CUCUCCUCCGUGUGCGUCGUGCAGUCUCAGAGUGUUGCUCGUGCUCGGGAUGAACGCUGGCGGCGUGCUUAACACAUGCAAGUCGAACGAUUAAACCGCCUCCGGGCGGAUAUAGAGUGGCGAACGGGUGAGUAACACGUGACCAACCUGCCCCGCACCCCGGGAUAACUGCUGGAAACGGCAGCUAAUACCGGAUACUCCGCCCCCUUUGCAUGAGGGGGGCGGGAAAGCCCCGACGGUGCGGGAUGGGGUCGCGGCCCAUUAGGUAGUAGGCGGGGUAACGGCCCACCUAGCCCGCGAUGGGUAGCCGGACUGAGAGGUCGACCGGCCACAUUGGGACUGAGAUACGGCCCAGACUCCUACGGGAGGCAGCAGUGGGGAAUUUUGCGCAAUGGGCGAAAGCCUGACGCAGCAACGCCGCGUGCGGGACGAAGGCCUUCGGGUUGUAAACCGCUUUCAGCAGGGAAGGGAACGACGGUACCUGCAGAAGAAGCUCCGGCUAACUACGUG
rnacentral:rRNA from 1 species